ACUUAAAUAGGAUAUUAAAUUUUUAAUUUGCAGUUAAAAUUAAUUAAUUAUUCAUUAAUAUAUCUUUUUUUAAGUA
rnacentral:tRNA from 1 species